AGCAAAUCUCAAAAAAACAAUCUCAGUUCAGACUGCAGGCUGCAACUCGCCUGCACGAAGUCGGAAUUGCUAGUAAUCGUAGGUCAGCAUACUACGGUGAAUACGUUCCCGGGCCUUGUACACACCGCCCGUCAAACCAUGAGAGUUGGCAACACCCGAAGUCGGUAGUCUAACCGCAAGGAGGACGCCGCCGAAGGUGGGGUUGAUGAUUAGGGUUAAGUCGUAACAAGGUAUC
rnacentral:rRNA from 1 species